rnacentral:rRNA from 1 species
UACGUAGGGGGGCUAGCGUUGUCCGGAAUCAUUGGGCGUAAAGAGCGUGUAGGCGGCCCCGGUAAGUCCGCUGUGAAAGUCGGGGGGCUCAACCCUCGAAUGCCGGUGGAUACUGUCGGGCUAGAGUGCGGAAGAGGCGAGUGGAAUUCCUGGUGUAGCGGUGAAAUGCGCAGAUAUCAGGAGGAACACCAAUUGCGAAGGCAGCUCGCUGGGACGUAACUGACGCUGAGACGCGAAAAGCGUGGGGGAGCAAACAGG